GUGACGAAGCGACGCCGCGUGGGUGAGGAAGGCCUUCGGGUUGUAAAGCCCUGUCAGGAGUUAAGAAAUGUAAGUGCGCUAAUAUCGCAUUUAUUUGACAAAGGCUCCAAAGGAAGCCACGGCUAACUCUGUGCCAGCAGCCGCGGUAAUACAGAGGUGGCAAGCGUUGUUCGGAAUUAUUGGGCGUAAAGAGCACGUAGGUGGGUUUGUAAGUCAGAUGUGAAAGCCUUCUGUUCAACGGAAGAAUUGCAUCUGAAACUACAAGUCUUGAGUGUAGGAGGGGAGAAUGGAACUUCUGGUGGAGCGGUGAAAUGCGUAGAUAUCAGAAGGAACGCCGGCGGCGAAAGCGAUUCUCUGGCCUAUAACUGACACUCAGUGUGCGAAAGCUAGGGGAGCAAACGGGAUUAGAUACCCCGGUAGUCCUAGCUGUAAACGAU
rnacentral:rRNA from 1 species